rnacentral:rRNA from 1 species
AGAGUUUGAUCCUGGCUCAGGAUGAACGCUAGCGGGAGGCUUAACACAUGCAAGUCGAGGGGUAAUCCCGAUUUAUCGGGAACGACCGGCGCACGGGUGAGUAACGCGUAUGCAACCUACCUUUUACAGAGGAAUAGCCCAGAGAAAUUUGGAUUAAUACCUCAUAGUACUGUUAAUUCGCAUGAUUUGACAGUUAGAGUUUCGGCGGUAAAAGAUGGGCAUGCGUGACAUUAGAUAGUUGGCGGGGUAACGGCCCACCAAGUCAGCGAUGUCUAGGGGUUCUGAGAGGAUGAUCCCCCACACUGGUACUGAGACACGGACCAGACUCCUACGGGAGGCAGCAGUGAGAAAUAUUGGUCAAUGGACGCAAGUCUGAACCAGCCAUCCCGCGUGAAGGAUGACGGUCCUAUGGAUUGUAAACUUCUUUUAUGUACCAAGAAUGUGCCCUACGUGUAGGGUUUUGACGGUAGUACAUGAAUAAGCAUCGGCUAACUCCGUGCCAGCAGCCGCGGUAAUACGGAGGAUGCGAGCGUUAUCCGGAUUCAUUGGGUUUAAAGGGUGCGUAGGCGGCUUAUUAAGUCAGUGGUGAAAUCCUGCGGCUCAACCGUAGAACUGCCAUUGAAACUGAUAAGCUUGAAUAUAGUUGAGGUAGGCGGAAUGAGUAGUGUAGCGGUGGAAUGCUUAGAGAUUACUCAGAACACCGAUUGCGAAGGCAGCUUACUAAACUAAUAUUGACGCUGAGGCACGAAAGCGUGGGGAGCGAACAGGAUUAGAUACCCUGGUAGUCCACGCCGUAAACGAUGUUCACUCGCUGCUUGCGAUACAUAGUAAGUGGCCAAGCGAGAGCAUUAAGUGAACCACCUGGGGAGUACGUCGGCAACGGUGAAACUCAAAGGAAUUGACGGGGGCCCGCACAAGCGGAGGAACAUGUGGUUUAAUUCGACAUACGCGAGGAACCUUACCUGGGCUUAAAUGUAGAUUGCAUGUGGUGGAAACACCCUUCUCUUCGGAGCUAUCUACAAGGUGCUGCAUGGUUGUCGUCAGCUCGUGCCGUGAGGUGUCGGGUUAAGUCCCAUAACGAGCGCAACUCCUAUCGUUAGUUGCCAUCAGGUUAAGCUGGGGACUCUAACGAGACUGCCACCGUAAGGUGAGAGGAAGGUGGGGAUGACGUCAAAUCAGCACGGCCCUUAUGUCCAGGGCUACACACGUGUUACAAUGGCAGGUACAAAGGGCAGCUACACCGCGAGGUGAUGCUAAUCUCGAAAGCCUGUCUCAGUUCGGAUCGGAGUCUGCAACUCGACUCCGUGAAGUUGGAUUCGCUAGUAAUCGCGUAUCAGCAAUGACGCGGUGAAUACGUUCCCGGGCCUUGUACACACCGCCCGUCAAACCAUGGAAGCUGGGGGGACCUGAAGUCUGUCACCGUAAGGAGCGGCCUAGGGUAAAACCGGUAACUGGGGUUAAGUCGGAACAAGGUA